rnacentral:rRNA from 1 species
AUGGCUUCGCUGUUGCUCAGAUCUGCCGCAGGCCGCGUUCUUGGGCGAUCAAUCCCGCUAGGGGUAGGCUCCUUCCGUCGGAGCCCAGGCCGGUUCCUCUCCGGUGGUGCUCAGAGGAUCGAAUCCAAGGCCCGUUUUGAGAUAGCAUUGGAGAAGUAUAGCGAGAACUUGCAAAAGGCACAUGAAGCAACUCUAAGUUUGCUAGAACAGGAGAAACGCUUCGAGCAACAGGAGCAACAACAAAUGUUGUUGUUAUCGUAUUUCUUACUUCCCGCUGGUGCUGGAUUUUUCAUAUUUGGUCCAGACAAGAAGAAGGAAACACCCGAGGAGACCAUUGAAACCUCUACUUAG